rnacentral:rRNA from 1 species
UGGGGAAUCUUCCGCAAUGGACGAAAGUCUGACGGAGCAACGCCGCGUGAGUGAUGACGGCCUUCGGGUUGUAAAGCUCUGUUAAUCGGGACGAAUGGUUCUUGUGCAAAUAGUGCGAGGAUUUGACGGUACCGGAAUAGAAAGCCACGGCUAACUACGUGCCAGCAGCCGCGGUAAUACGUAGGUGGCAAGCGUUGUCCGGAAUUAUUGGGCGUAAAGCGCGCGCAGGCGGAUUGGUCAGUCUGUCUUAAAAGUUCGGGGCUUAACCCCGUGAUGGGAUGGAAACUGCCAAUCUAGAGAAUCGGAGAGGAAAGUGGAAUUCCUAGUGUAGCGGUGAAAUGCGUAGAUAUUAGGAAGAACACCAGUGGCGAAGGCGACUUUCUGGACGAAAACUGACGCUGAGGCGCGAAAGCCAGGGGAGCGAACGGGA